rnacentral:siRNA from 1 species
CUCUUUGAGACAUCUCGCGGA